rnacentral:rRNA from 1 species
CGAUAUGCUUUGGGGAGCUGUACGUAAGCUAUGAUCCAGAGAUUUCCGAAUGGGGGAACCCAGCAUCUUUAAUAGGAUGUUACGAUUGUGUGAAUACAUAGCACAUUCGAGGUAGACGCAGAGAACUGAAACAUCUAAGUACCUGCAGGAAGAGAAAGAAAAUUCGAUUCCCUGAGUAGCGGCGAGCGAAACGGGAAAAGCCCAAACCAGCAAGCUUGCUUGUUGGGGUUGUAGGACUCCAAUAUGGUAGUUCUUUCAGAUAGUCGAAUGACUUGGAAAAGUCAGUCAAAGAGGGUAAAAACCCCGUAGACGAAAUGUGGAAGACACCUAGGAGGAUCCUGAGUACGGCGGAACACGAGAAAUUCCGUCGGAAUCCGGGAGGACCAUCUCCCAAGGCUAAAUACUCCCUAGUGACCGAUAGUGAACCAGUACCGUGAGGGAAAGGUGAAAAGCACCCCGGAAGGGGAGUGAAAUAGAACCUGAAACCGUGUGCCUACAACAAGUCAAAGCCCGUUAAUGGGUGAUGGCGUGCCUUUUGUAGAAUGAACCGGCGAGUUACGAUUGCAUGCGAGGUUAAGUUGAAGAGACGGAGCCGCAGCGAAAGCGAGUCUGAAUAGGGCGUUUGAGUAUGUAGUCGUAGACCCGAAACCAUGUGAUCUACCCAUGUCCAGGUUGAAGGUGCGGUAAAACGCACUGGAGGACCGAACCCACGUACGUUGAAAAGUGCGGGGAUGAGGUGUGGGUAGCGGAGAAAUUCCAAACGAACUUGGAGAUAGCUGGUUCUCUCCGAAAUAGCUUUAGGGCUAGCCUCGGAAUUGAGAAUGAUGGAGGUAGAGCACUGUUUGGACUAGGGGCCCAUCUCGGGUUACCGAAUUCAGAUAAACUCCGAAUGCCAUUCAUUCAUAUCCGGGAGUCAGACUGUGAGUGAUAAGAUCCAUAGUCGAAAGGGAAACAGCCCAGACCACCAGCUAAGGUCCCAAAAUAUAUGUUAAGUGGAAAAGGAUGUGGGGUUGCACAGACAACUAGGAUGUUGGCUUAGAAGCAGCCACCAUUUAAAGAGUGCGUAAUAGCUCACUAGUCGAGUGACCCUGCGCCGAAAAUGUACCGGGGCUAAACAUAUUACCGAAGCUGUGGAGUACACCUUUAGGUGUAUUGGUAGGAGAGCGUUCUAAGGGCGUUGAAGGCAGAUCGUGAGGACUGCUGGAGCGCUUAGAAGUGAGAAUGCCGGUAUGAGUAGCGAAAGACAGGUGAGAAUCCUGUCCACCGAAUGACUAAGGUUUCCUGGGGAAGGCUCGUCCGCCCAGGGUUAGU